rnacentral:rRNA from 1 species
AUAGAUACCCCGGUAGUCCACGCCGUAAACGAUGAGUGCUAAGUGUUAGAGGGUUUCCGCCCUUUAGUGCUGCAGCUAACGCAUUAAGCACUCCGCCUGGGGAGUACGGCCGCAAGGCUGAAACUCAAAGGAAUUGACGGGGGCCCGCACAAGCGGUGGAGCAUGUGGUUUAAUUCGAAGCAACGCGAAGAACCUUACCAGGUCUUGACAUCCUCUGACAACCCUAGAGAUAGGGCUUUCCCCUUCGGGGGACAGAGUGACAGGUGGUGCAUGGUUGUCGUCAGCUCGUGUCGUGAGAUGUUGGGUUAAGUCCCGCAACGAGCGCAACCCUUGAUCUUAGUUGCCAGCAUUCAGUUGGGCACUCUAAGGUGACUGCCGGUGACAAACCGGAGGAAGGUGGGGAUGACGUCAAAUCAUCAUGCCCCUUAUGACCUGGGCUACACACGUGCUACAAUGGAUGGUACAAAGGGCUGCAAACCUGCGAAGGUAAGCGAAUCCCAUAAAGCCAUUCUCAGUUCGGAUUGC